rnacentral:rRNA from 1 species
UAGCAUAUCAAUAAGCGGAGGAAAAGAAACCAACAGGGAUUGCCCCAGUAACGGCGAGUGAAGCGGCAACAGCUCAAAUUUGAAAUCUGGCCCCUAGGGUCCGAGUUGUAAUUUGUAGAGGAUGCUUUUGGCGCGGCGCCUUCCGAGUUCCCUGGAACGGGACGCCAUAGAGGGUGAGAGCCCCGUCUGGUUGGAUGCCUAGCCUCUGUAAAGCUCCUUCGACGAGUCGAGUAGUUUGGGAAUGCUGCUCUAAAUGGGAGGUAUAUGUCUUCUAAAGCUAAAUACCGGCCAGAGACCGAUAGCGCACAAGUAGAGUGAUCGAAAGAUGAAAAGCACUUUGAAAAGAGGGUUAAAUAGUACGUGAAAUUGUUGAAAGGGAAGCGUUUGUGACCAGACUUGGGCCCGGUUGAUCAUCCAGCGUUUUCGCUGGUGCACUCUGCCGGCCCAGGCCAGCAUCAGUUCGCGCCGGGGGAUAAAGGCUUCGGGAAUGUGGCUCCUCGGAGUGUUAUAGCCCGUUGUGUAAUACCCUGGUGCGGACUGAGGUUCGCGCUCCGCAAGGAUGCUGGCGUAAUGGUCAUCAGCGACCCGUCUUGAAACACGGACCAAGGAGUCGUCUUCGUAUGCGAGUGUUCGGGUGUCAAACCCCUACGCGUAAUGAAAGUGAACGCAGGUGAGAGCUUCGGCGCAUCAUCGACCGAUCCUGAUGUUCUCGGAUGGAUUUGAGUAAGAGCAUACGGGGCCGGACCCGAAAGAAGGUGAACUAUGCCUGUAUAGGGUGAAGCCAGAGGAAACUCUGGUGGAGGCUCGCAGCGGUUCUGACGUGCAAAUCGAUCGUCAAAUAUGGGCAUGGGGGCGAAAGACUAAUCG